GUGUUACACUGCUGCUUGUCAUUUUAAAUUAUUCUUGAAAAGUUAUUUUUGAGAUGAUCAUGUUUGAGCGUGCCUCUUCCUCUCAUCUCCAGGAACCUGAAUAAUACAUAUGAGCAGCCCGACCCCCAUUACUAGAACCAGGACCCAUCAAACCACCCUGUACUCACCCAGCAGAGCGAGCAUUAAACCGAGGACAACACAGACUAACAGUGAGACUCCAUUGUCCGAAAGCUCCGAAGUUUCACCCACUGGUGCGUCAGAUAAUGAAGAGACCAUAACCCUGUUAAAGAAACGGAAGUCCCAAAUCUGCACAGUCAUGUGACUAGAUGCAAGUCCAAGUUAAUGUGGUUGGUUAAUUGAAAGCAUUCAUAGGAAUGACUCUAUUGAGUGUAUUUCUAUGGCUCAAAUCUGCUCUUUGCACAUUGGUAUUAAAAAUUCUAAUGCACAUGUAAGUGUUACUGUAUAACAUUGUCUGUCUCAUCUCCUGCACGUACAAGUGUUGCCUUGUCAUUGCAUUUGUCUUCCAAACACUCCCUGUUUUUAUUUUUUUAUUUUUUAUUUAACC